CUACUAUCAAUUAAAAGUGACCAGCUGGUUUCAGGAAUCUAAACUAAACCAAUUAUAUCUGCUCUAAAAGCAAAAAAAAAAAAAACAUAAAGGAGACCAGUUCUGUAUUGUUGCUACUCUACAGAAAGGCAAACUGAGAAUUAACCAUUAACCUUGCCACACACAAACAACUUUCUGAUGUCAUCAUGUGGGCACCAAAGAUGGCCAAGAUCAAUUAAAAGCCAUCCAGAUAUUUGUCCCUAACCAUAAAUACAAUUGGCUGGUGACCGCGAUCGUUCGCAUAUAAUAAUUUACCAGUUGGACUAGUGAGAUCCCAUGGGAUCCAACCAUUAGGCCUGGUGGCUCAGUGUUUUCAGUUGGACCCCUAUAUGUAUGUGUGGCCAAAUUAGGCACAGUUCCAGAUGUUCAACUAUUAGACUGAAUGUCCAGAUCUUAACAUAUGUGAUCUACGUUAGGAUUCAUUAAAGUAAAUUAAACAAUG